rnacentral:rRNA from 1 species
UACGAAGGGGACUAGCGUUGUUCGGAAUCACUGGGCGUAAAGCGCACGUAGGCGGAUGUGUCAGUCAGGGGUGAAAUCCCGGGGCUCAACCUCGGAACUGCCUUUGAUACAGCACGUCUCGAGUCCGGAAGAGGUGGGUGGAAUUCCUAGUGUAGAGGUGAAAUUCGUAGAUAUUAGGAAGAACACGUGGCGAAGGCGGCCCACUGGUCCGGUACUGACGCUGAGGUGCGAAAGCGUGGGGAGCAA